AUUAAUAAAAGUUAGCAACAUGAAGUUAUUAAUUUUCCUAUUUUUGGUAGCUUAUGCUACAGCCAGUUUAGAUGACGAAGCCAUCGACUCCGGUUCUCCUGUUCAUCCGUAUAUUCAAGCGGUUCAACGAAACUCGGAUCUUUUGCGUCAGGGGGAUGAGUGCACGGCGGACCGCGCUUGCCGAUGUCCAUACGGAGAGAUCGGCUUUUGUUCUGAAUACCGGUGUUACUGUCUGAAAGAUAACUUGCCCAGAAUGUAGUACUGAUGCUGUGAAGAAAUAUUCUUUAUCGAACUACAGGUUGCAGAAAUAAAAUGCUAGUAUAUUUUGGAA